rnacentral:rRNA from 1 species
CCUACGGGAGGCAGCAGUGGGGAAUAUUGGGCAAUGGGCGCAAGCCUGACCCAGCAACGCCGCGUGAAGGAAGAAGGCUUUCGGGUUGUAAACUUCUUUUCUCAGGGACGAAGAAAGUGACGGUACCUGAGGAAUAAGCCACGGCUAACUACGUGCCAGCAGCCGCGGUAAUACGUAGGUGGCAAGCGUUAUCCGGAUUUAGUGGGUGUAAGGGGCGCGUAGGCGGGAGGGCAAGUUAGAGGUGAAAACCCAGGGCUCAACCCCGCGCCUGCAUUUGAUACUGUGUUUCUUGAGUGCUGGAGAGGCAAUCGGAAUUUCGGGUGUAGCGGUGAAAUGCGUAGAUAUAC